UACGUAGGCAGCUAGCGUUGUUCGGAAUUACUGGGCGUAAAGCGAGUGUAGGCGGUUUGCCAAGUCCGUUGUGAAAUCUCCCGGCUCAACUGGGAGGGUGCGGCGGAAACUGGCAGGCUAGAGUGCGGAAUGGGAGAGUGGAAUUCCUGGUGUAGCGGUGAAAUGCGUAGAUAUCAGGAGGAACACCGGUGGUGAAGACGGCUCUCUGGACCGCUACUGACGCUGAGACUCGAAAGCGUGGGGAGCAAAC
rnacentral:rRNA from 1 species